rnacentral:rRNA from 1 species
CACACCGGUUGACCUCGGAUCAGGUAGGGAUACCCGCUGAACUUAAGCAUAUCAAUAAGC